GUGCCUGGCCCAGUUUCAUCUUCCAGUGAUAGUAAAAGUGAAGAUAGGGAAAGGGACUCUGAGCAAGGAAGUAGUGGCAGUUAGAAUUACUUAGAAGAGGGGUUUGAUUACAAUGAUUACACUUAUGGUGUCAAACAUGUGUGCAGCAGUCAAGCACAAUGCAGAACUUACCACAGUCUCCUUCCAAACAGGUAGUUUGUUGCUGUAAAUCAUUUUGACAUGUAUUUUUUGUUGGAAUGUUGUCAAAGACUUAACAAUAACUUUAUUUCUAUGGCGGUAUAUGCAAAAGCUCUAUGUCGCUUUACAAUCUAAUAAAUAUCUAACUAACAAUCUUACCAAGAUAAAAUCAAUUAAAAGCAAGUCUGAAAAGAUAAGUUUUCAAUCUAGAUUUAAAGAUGUCAACUGAUCGACUUAAUGUAAUGUCUAAGGGAAUAUCAUUCUAGUGCUUUGGGGCAUCGACCGAGAAGGCCCUGUCCCCAUAGCUCUUCAGGCGCACAUUCGGUACUUCUAAUAAAUGUUUGCUAGCUGACCUAAGAUUUCUUGUAGGGCUAUAUGGGACUAUAAGCUGACUUAGAUACAGAGGCGCCAGACCAUUGAGAGCUUUAAAAGUUAACAGUAAUACUUUAAAGGUAACUCGCUGCUCCACAGGUAACCAGUGUAGCUCCUUAAGGAUAGGGCAAAUGUGUGCAGUCCUAGUUUGCCUGGCUACGAGGCGUGCAGCGCAGUUUUGAAUGCGCUGCAUGACUCGUAGCUGUUAAUAUUAAUUAAGAAAUAUUUUAGUAGUUAUCAGAUUCAGCUAAUUCUUGCCAAUGAAUUUUGUAAAUAGGCAAGUUUUGACCCGAACAGUUUCUGUUGUAGUUGCAUUUACACUGAUAUUCAGACUUAUUUAAUGGUUUGUGAAAUGGUAAUAGGUUUUGCUAUCACAAAUUGUAUUCAAUUUUACUUGUUGGCACAGAUUUGUAUUUAUUAGAUGAACUCACAAGCAAAUAAAGAACCUGAUUCUAUUA
rnacentral:lncRNA from 1 species